UGUAACACGUGGGUAACCUACCUAUAAGACUGGGACAACUUCGGGAAACCGGAGCUAAUACCGGAUAAUAUGUUGAACCGCAUGGUUCAAUAGUGAAAGAUGGUUUUGCUAUCACUUAUAGAUGGACCCGCGCCGUAUUAGCUAGUUGGUGAGGUAACGGCUCACCAAGGCAACGAUACGUAGCCGACCUGAGAGGGUGAUCGGCCACACUGGAACUGAGACACGGUCCAGACUCCUACGGGAGGCAGCAGUAGGGAAUCUUCCGCAAUGGGCGAAAGCCUGACGGAGCAACGCCGCGUGAGUGAUGAAGGUCUUAGGAUCGUAAAACUCUGUUAUUAGGGAAGAACAAACGUGUAAGUAACUGUGCACGUCUUGACGGUACCUAAUCAGAAAGCCACGGCUAACUACGUGCCGGCAGCCGCGGUAAUACGUAGGUGGCAAGCGUUAUCCGGAAUUAUUGGGCGUAAAGCGCGCGUAGGCGGUUUUUUAAGUCUGAUGUGAAAGCCCACGGCUCAACCGUGGAGGGUCAUUGGAAACUGGAAAACUUGAGUGCAGAAGAGGAAAGUGGAAUUCCAUGUGUAGCGGUGAAAUGCGCAGAGAUAUGGAGGAACACCAGUGGCGAAGGCGACUUUCUGGUCUGUAACUGACGCUGAUGUGCGAAAGCGUGGGGAUCAAACAGGAUUAGAUACCCUGGUAGUCCACGCCGUAAACGAUGAGUGCUAAGUGUUAGGGGGUUUCCGCCCCUUAGUGCUGCAGCUACGCAUUAAGCACUC
rnacentral:rRNA from 1 species